rnacentral:tRNA from 2 species
GCCCUGGUAGUCUAGCGGUUAGGAUUCACCCCUGUCACGGGUGAGACUCGGGUUCGAGUCCCGGCCAGGGCG